AGCUCACCGAACAGACCUGAGAAUGCCUAACUUACAGGGCAAAUUUUCAGUGUCCAAACCCACACAAACAGGAAGGAGGAACUGAAAUGUUCUAGCUGUUAGAACAGAAACCUCCCAGUGUCCAUCUGACACAUACCUGUGCAAGACAGUGGAAAAAGGACUUCCUCCCAGAAAGCAGUAAAGGGCCAGCCAGAUUCCUGAACAAAGAACUCCCUCCACUGUCAGGCUGGAAGUGUCCAUCUGACUCACCUGGAAUCACUGAGUUCUAUUUGGGAUAAAAGUAGAAGAAAAUAAGAAGACACUUUGGGUCUGAGGCAUGGUCUCUAAUUUAGCUUGAUCAGCAAUAAAGUAUUUAAUUUUCUCUCUU